rnacentral:sRNA from 1 species
CAUAUCAAUAAGCGGAGGAAAAGAAACCAACAGGGAUUGCCCUAGUAACGGCGAGUGAAGCGGCAUCAGCUCAAAUUUGAAAUCUGGCUCUUUCAGGGUCCGAGUUGUAAUUUGCAGAGGGCGCUUUGGCGUUGGCAGCGGUCCAAGUUCCUUGGAACAGGACGUCACAGAGGGUGAGAAUCCCGUACGUGGUCGCUGGCCUUCGCCGUGUAAAGCCCCUUCGACGAGUCGAGUUGUUUGGGAAUGCAGCUCUAAAUGGGAGGUAAAUUUCUUCUAAAGCUAAAUACUGGCCAGAGACCGAUAGCGCACAAGUAGAGUGAUCGAAAGAUGAAAAGCACUUUGGAAAGAGAGUCAAAUAGCACGUGAAAUUGUUGAAAGGGAAGCGCUUGCAGCCAGACUUGCCUGUAGUUGCUCAUCCGGGCUUUUGCCCGGUGCACUCUUCUGCGGGCAGGCCAGCAUCAGUCUGGGCGGUUGGAUAAAGGCCUCUGUCACGUACCUCCUUUCGGGGAGGCCUUAUAGGGGAGGCGUAAUGCAACCAGCCUGGACUGAGGUCCGCGCAUCUGCUAGGAUGCUGGCGUAAUGGCUGUAAGCGGCCCGUCUUGAAACACGGACCAAGGAGUCUAACAUCUAUGCGAGUGUUUGGGUGUCAAGCCCGAGCGCGUAAUGAAAGUGAACGGAGGUGGGAUCCCUUUAGGGUGCACCAUCGACCGAUCCUGAUGUCUUCGGAUGGAUUUGAGUAAGAGCAUGGCUGUUGGGACCCGAAAGAUGGUGAACUAUGCUUGAAUAGGGUGAAGCCAGAGGAAACUCUGGUGGAGGCUCGCAGCGGUUCUGACGUGCAAAUCGAUCGUCAAAUUUGGGCAUAGGGGCGAAAGACUAAUCGAACUAUCUAGUAGCUGGGUC